UACGAAGGGUGCAAGCGUUACUCGGAAUCACUGGGCGUAAAGCGUGCGUAGGCGGUUCGUUAAGUCUGCUGUGAAAGCCCUGGGCUCAACCUGGGAACUGCAGUGGAUACUGGCGGACUAGAGUGUGAUAGAGGAUGGUGGAAUUCCCGGUGUAGCGGUGAAAUGCGUAGAUAUCAGGAGGAACACCGGCGGCGAAAGGCGGCCCUCUGGCUCGUUGCUGACGCUGAAACGCGAAAAGCGUGGGGAGCAAACAGG
rnacentral:rRNA from 1 species